UCUAUUUCUCUAACAUGUUAAAAAAGUAAAUAUGCUUUCCAAAAUUGGUGGUUCCAGUUAUAAAGAUACUGUGAGAAAAAUUUUAAGAAAAUUGGUUGAAUAUAUAACUUAUAAUGGAUAAAAAGUAACAUCAUAUUGAACAUAAAUAUCAACAUAGUUGUUAUUCCUAAAUUGUGAAUCACGCCAUAAAUGUUACAAUAACAAGAUCAAUAGGUAACCAAUAUUAUAUUCUCAUGACAAGUUGUAAACCAAUUGGAUUCGUAGAUUCAACAGAACGAGUAUGCAAACCCAAUAGAAGUUUUACUAAAUAAAACAAUCACCAAGAUGUUGGAAUAAUAGAUUUAGGCGAUUUCUAUUUGAGUUGAAAAUAGAACAAACCAUUUUUGUUGAUGAUGGUUUGAUUGUCAAGCAACAAAAUAA